GCCGACUUAGCUCAAUAGGUAGAGCAACUGACUUGUAAUCAGUAGGUCGCCAGUUCGAUUCCGCAGUCGGCACCA
rnacentral:tRNA from 1 species